rnacentral:tRNA from 11 species
ACUCAGUAGCUGAGUGGAUAACGUGAUGGCGUUUGAAGCGAACGGUUCUGGGUUCGAGUCCCAAAGAGU